rnacentral:rRNA from 1 species
GACGAACGCUGGCGGCGUGCUUAACACAUGCAAGUCUAACGGAAAGGCCCUGUUUUUGUGCGUUGCUCGAGUGGCGAACGGGUGAGUAACACGUGAGUAACCUGCCCUUUACUUUGUGAUAACUUCAGGCAACUGGGGCUAAUACCGGAUAUGAGCUCCUGCUGCAUGGUGGGGGUUGGAAAGUUUCGGCGGUUGGGGAGGGACUCGCGUCUUAUCAGCUUGUUGGUGGGGGAGUGGCUUACCAAGGCGUUGACGGGUAGCCGGCCUGAGAGGGUGACCGGGCCCAUAGGGACUGAGAGACAGCCCCGACACCUACGGGAGGCAGCAGUGUGGAAUAUUGCAGAAUGGGCGGAAGCCUGAUGCAGAGACGCCGCGUGCGGGAUGACGGCCUUCGGGUAGUAAAACGCUUCCGCCUGUGACGAAGCGUGAGUGACGGUAAUGGGUAAAGAAGCACCGGCUAACUACGUG